rnacentral:rRNA from 1 species
UACGUAGGGACCAAGCGUUGUUCGGAUUUACUGGGCGUAAAGGGCGCGUAGGCGGCAAUUCAAGUCAGUUGUGAAAUCUCCGAGCUUAACGUCGGAACGGUCGAAGCUGAUACUGACUUUGCUAGAGUACAGAAGGGGCAAUCGGGAAUUCUUGGUGUAGCGGUGAAAUGCGUAGGAUAUCAAGAGGAACACCUGAGGUGAAGACGGGGUUGCUGGGCUGAUACUGACGCUGAGGCGCGAAAGCUAGGGUAGCAAACGGG